rnacentral:rRNA from 1 species
UACGUAGGUGGCGAGCGUUGUCCGGAUUUACUGGGCGUAAAGAGCGCGCAGGCGGUCGUGCAAGUCGCGUGUGAAAGCCCCCGGCUCAACUGGGGAGGGUCACGCGAUACUGCUCGACUCGAAGGCAGGAGAGGGAAGUGGAAUUCCGGGUGUAGUGGUGGAAUGCGUAGAGAUCCGGAGGAACACCAGCGGCGAAGGCGGCGUCCCUGGACUGGUACUGACGCUC